rnacentral:rRNA from 1 species
AUUGAACGCUGGCGGCAGGCCUAACACAUGCAAGUCGAACGAGUGGCGGACGGGUGAGUAAUGUCUGGGAAACUGCCCGAUGGAGGGGGAUAACUACUGGAAACGGUAGCUAAUACCGCAUACCAACGGAUGUGCCCAGAUGGGAUUAGCUAGUAGGUGGGGUAACGGCUCACCUAGGCGACGAUCCAUAGCUGGUCUGAGAGGAGGACCAGCCACACUGGAACUUGGACACGGUCCAGACUCCUACGGGAGGCGGCAGUGGGGAAUAUUGCGCAAUGGGCGCAAGCCUGAUUCAGCCAUGGCGCGUGUAUUAAGAGGGCCUUCGGGUUGUAAAGUACUUUCAGCGAGGAGGCGUUACUCGCAGAAGAAGCACCGGCUAACUCCGUGCCAGCAGCCGCGGUAAUUC